UGGAUGAACGCUAGCUACAGGCUUAACACAUGCAAGUCGAGGGGCAGCAUUUCAGUUUGCUUGCAAACUGGAGAUGGCGACCGGCGCACGGGUGAGUAACACGUAUCCAACCUGCCGAUAACUCGGGGAUAGCCUUUCGAAAGAAAGAUUAAUACCCGAUGGUAUAAUCAGACCGCAUGGUCUUGUUAUUAAAGAAUUUCGGUUAUCGAUGGGGAUGCGUUCCAUUAGGCAGUUGGUGAGGUAACGGCUCACCAAACCUUCGAUGGAUAGGGGUUCUGAGAGGAAGGUCCCCCACAUUGGAACUGAGACACGGUCCAAACUCCUACGGGAGGCAGCAGUGAGGAAUAUUGGUCAAUGGGCGCAGGCCUGAACCAGCCAAGUAGCGUGAAGGAUGACUGCCCUAUGGGUUGUAAACUUCUUUUAUAUGGGAAUAAAGUUUUCCACGUGUGGAAUUUUGUAUGUACCAUAUGAAUAAGGAUCGGCUAACUCCGUGCCAGCAGCCGCGGUAAUACGGAGGAUCCGAGCGUUAUCCGGAUUUAUUGGGUUUAAAGGGAGCGUAGGUGGACAGUUAAGUCAGUUGUGAAAGUUUGCGGCUCAACCGUAAAAUUGCAGUUGAUACUGGCUGUCUUGAGUACAGUAGAGGUGGGCGGAAUUCGUGGUGUAGCGGUGAAAUGCUUAGAUAUCACGAAGAACUCCGAUUGCGAAGGCAGCUCACUGGACUGCAACUGACACUGAUGCUCGAAAGUGUGGGUAUCAAACAGGAUUAGAUACCCUGGUAGUCCACACAGUAAACGAUGAAUACUCGCUGUUUGCGAUAUACAGUAAGCGGCCAAGCGAAAGCAUUAAGUAUUCCACCUGGGGAGUACGCCGGCAACGGUGAAACUCAAAGGAAUUGACGGGGGCCCGCACAAGCGGAGGAACAUGUGGUUUAAUUCGAUGAUACGCGAGGAACCUUACCCGGGCUUAAAUUGCAUUUGAAUAUAUUGGAAACAGUAUAGCCGUAAGGCAAAUGUGAAGGUGCUGCAUGGUUGUCGUCAGCUCGUGCCGUGAGGUGUCGGCUUAAGUGCCAUAACGAGCGCAACCCUUAUCUUUAGUUACUAACAGGUCAUGCUGAGGACUCUAGAGAGACUGCCGUCGUAAGAUGUGAGGAAGGUGGGGAUGACGUCAAAUCAGCACGGCCCUUACGUCCGGGGCUACACACGUGUUACAAUGGGGGGUACAGAAGGCAGCUACCUGGUGACAGGAUGCUAAUCCCAAAAGCCUCUCUCAGUUCGGAUCGAAGUCUGCAACCCGACUUCGUGAAGCUGGAUUCGCUAGUAAUCGCGCAUCAGCCAUGGCGCGGUGAAUACGUUCCCGGGCCUUGUACACACCGCCCGUCAAGCCAUGAAAGCCGGGGGUACCUGAAGUACGUAACCGCAAGGAGCGUCCUAGGGUAAAACUGG
rnacentral:rRNA from 1 species